ACAAGAACAGGAAGAAGGAGAAGAAAAAGCUUGGGGGCUACCAUCAAUAGCAAACAGAGGAGGAGAGCGAGUGAGAGACGGUGAGGGUGGCUAAAGGAAGAAGAGACGACAGCGAGCACGAUAGCAGCACCACUGGAGAUGAUCAACGAUAAUAAAAGGCAGAAACUGGCAAGAAAGGAAAGCAACUUGGUGCCAUUCAGGGGUGACUCUAGCAACCAUUAGCGACAAUUUUGGUCCAAAAUGACUAGCAGCUUGUGGGCUUUCAUUUCUGCCUCUUAGCACCCCUUAAGGCUAUCAAAAUAUCGAGAUACGACAAGAGGAGCACAUGUAAGAAAGUUCGUUUUCCACUUUUCUGGCCAAUGCCAUCGUGCUUCAGAUGAUCAGAGGUCACAUUCGGGACCUACGCAUCGUAAGCUUUCUAUUGACACCCAUUUAGUAGCGAUCGGACUCCAUUAGAAAAUUGUAGGUUAAAACUGGUUGUGGUGAUUUGGGUUGAUAAGUUGCUAGAUCGGAGAAUCAGAUGUUUGAUUCAUUCUUUACACAUCGUUUGAAGUUAGUAGACGCGUUCAUAUUGUCGAUCGAAAUUCGGCGGUCGAAGACGAGCCAACUAAUGUAGCACGCGUCUAGUAAUUCUUUAGCCUAUUGAUUUUGAAAUAGUUAAUUA
rnacentral:lncRNA from 1 species